GUCUAUCUUCGGGGCUGGGUGUAAUUCCCGACCGGCGGUGAUGAGUUAAUGUUAACUUUAAGUCCGCGAGCCGCAAGGCAGGAUUUGGUGCGAUUCCAAAACCGACAGUAAAGUCUGGAUGGGAGAAGAUGGAG
rnacentral:ncRNA from 2 species